rnacentral:tRNA from 1 species
CGGGCAGAGGUGCAGAGGGGAGCACGCUUGCUUCGGGAGCAGGAGGGUUCCGGUUCGACUCCGGGGUGCCCGA